ACGGAAGGCAGCAGUGGGGAAUAUUGGGCAAUGGGCGCAAGCCUGACCCAGCAACGCCGCGUGAAGGAUGAAGGUUUUCGGAUUGUAAACUUCUUUGACUGAGGACGAUAAUGACGGUACUCAGAAAACAAGCCACGGCUAACUACGUGCCAGCAGCCGCGGUAAUACGUAGGUGGCGAGCGUUGUCCGGAUUUACUGGGUGUAAAGGGCGUGUAGGCGGGGGAGCAAGUCAGAUGUGAAAUACCGUGGCUUAACCACGGAGCUGCAUUUGAAACUGUUCUUCUUGAGUGAUGGAGAGGUAAGCGGAAUUCCUAGUGUAGCGGUAAAAUGCGUAGAUAUUAGGAGGAACACCGGUGGCGAAGGCGGCUUACUGGACAUUAACUGACGCUGAGGCGCGAAAGCGUGGGGAGCAAACAGGAUUAGAUACCCUGGUA
rnacentral:rRNA from 1 species